AUCAACUUAAACCCGGAAGCGGCGUCGUUCCGAUCAAGACGAGAUGCUGCAGUGGCAGCUCAACAACGCAUUAAAGAAGUAGUAGAAGUAGAACGUUGACGAAAACUAUAUAGUGCAAAUUGAACACUGAACUUUUAUAGAACUUUAUCCUUUAUUAGUACUGUUUGGUUAGACCAGUCUCCUUUGAGGGACAUAUACCUCGCUGUAAGGUAUAUGGGGGGAGAGUGUCGGAAACUGUCGUAAUCUAGAAUUAGUAUUUAUGUUCACGCGUGGGACGCGCGAGUCCAAACUUUAAACACUUCGGAAAGUUCCAGAUUAUACCGGUGGUGGUUGUUUUUUCCAGGAGAGAACUUAAAAACAUGUGGCUG